rnacentral:rRNA from 1 species
UUUACUACACCGUAUUCUGUGAGUUGCGAACGGGUGAGUAACGCGUAGGUAACCUGCCUGGUAGCGGGGGAUAACUAUUGGAAACGAUAGCUAAUACCGCAUAAGAACAUUUACUGCAUGGUAGAUGUUUAAAAGGUGCAAAAGCAUCACUACCAGAUGGACCUGCGUUGUAUUAGCUAGUUGGUGAGGCAACGGCUCACCAAGGCAACGAUACAUAGCCGACCUGAGAGGGUGAUCGGCCACACUGGGACUGAGACACGGCCCAGACUCCUACGGGAGGCAGCAGUAGGGAAUCUUCGGCAAUGGGGGGAACCCUGACCGAGCAACGCCGCGUGAGUGAAGAAGGUUUUCGGAUCGUAAAGCUCUGUUGUUAAGGAAGAACGUGUGUGAGAGUGGAAAGUUCACACAGUGACGGUACUUAACCAGAAAGGGACGGCUAACUACGUGCCAGCAGCCGCGGUAAUACGUAGGUCCCGAGCGUUGUCCGGAUUUAUUGGGCGUAAAGCGAGCGCAGGCGGUUAGAUAAGUCUGAAGUGAAAGGCAGUGGCUCAACCAUUGUAGGCUUUGGAAACUGUUUAACUUGAGUGCAGAAGGGGAGAGUGGAAUUCCAUGUGUAGCGGUGAAAUGCGUAGAUAUAUGGAGGAACACCGGUGGCGAAAGCGGCUCUCUGGUCUGUAACUGACGCUGAGGCUCGAAAGCGUGGGGAGCGAACAGGAUUAGAUACCCUGGUAGUCCACGCCGUAAACGAUGAGUGCUAGGUGUUAGGUCCUUUCCGGGACUUAGUGCCGCAGCUAACGCAUUAAG